UGAUCUGGGAGAGGAGCCACCACACUGGCCUUUCUCCUUUCGUCUUUCCCACCGCAAGCCCAGAGUCCUGCAGGGAGAUCGCCAUGGCCUGGCCCCUCUUUUACUUGGCAGUUCUCAGUUCCUGUGCAGGGGUCCGAUCGCAGCUAGCGGUGAUUCAGCCAGCCUCGCUCUCGGUGUCUCUGGGCCAGACGGUUCAGAUCCCUUGCUCCAGAAGUUCUGGCGGCAGCUGGGCCAAUCUGAACUGGCAGCGCCAGAAGCCUGGCCAGGCCCCCCAGGUUGUGCUUUAUGGCAGCAGCACCAGGGGACCUGGGAUCCCCGAUCGGUUUACUGGGACAGCCUCUGGAACCACCAACUAUCUGAAUAUUGCUAAUGCCCAGGCUGAGGACGAAGCUGAUUAUUACUGUCUCUCUUGGGAGAAAAAGAGUAACACGAUACACAGUGAUAUAUUCAGAUGGGGAGGACAAAGCAAAAUCUUCGUACUUCCUCCCUAG